UUUAAGAAUCACAGCAUUCACCAAGGAUGUCUCCAAACCUUCUCACACAGAACAACGAAGAAAAUGGAAAGCGCUGCUGUAAGAAGUAGAGACUGGGCAAUGAGCUGUUUCUAGUCACUAGAUAACUGACUCUCAGCCACAACUACUUUGCAGUUCAGUGACUGAAAUUCAUGCCUCAGCAAAACUUUGCACUCUGCCUUAUAGAAUGGACUUCUGGAUCACGCUGAAGUGGCUUAAACUUGUUUACCGAUGCAUUUCCCAGGCGUACUUACUGUACCACUUCAGCACCUCUGCACUCGAGCCUCAGAGAUCAAGAAACGGCGGAGAAAUGCAAUAACAAAUAAAGGCUAUUCCAUCUGGCAGGCAUAAGCAUAAACGAGAUGCGAGCCCAGAGUCUCAAUAAAGAAGGGAUCAUCAUCAAUCCACACUCCACGCAGAGCCCCAAGACAACAGCGGAAUUGCUCUGUGAACUAGGAAUCGGGCUUCCCCGGUGGCACAGUGGUUGAGAGUCCGCCUGCCGAUGCGGGGGACGCGGGUUCGUGCCCCGGUCCGGGAAGAUCCCACAGGCCGCGGAGCGGCUGGGACCGUGAGCCAUGGCCGCUGAGCCUGCGCGUCCGGAGCCUGUGCUCCGCAACGGGAGAGGCCACAACAGUGAGAGGCCCGCGUACCG